AGAGUUUGAUCCUGGCUCAGGACGAACGCUGGCGGCGUGCUUAACACAUGCAAGUCGAACGGAAAGGCCCUUCGGGGUACUCGAGUGGCGAACGGGUGAGUAACACGUGGGUGAUCUGCCCUGCACUUUGGGAUAAGCCUGGGAAACUGGGUCUAAUACCGAAUAGGACCACGCGCUUCAUGGUGUGUGGUGGAAAGCUUUUGCGGUGUGGGAUGGGCCCGCGGCCUAUCAGCUUGUUGGUGGGGUAAUGGCCUACCAAGGCGACGACGGGUAGCCGGCCUGAGAGGGUGACCGGCCACACUGGGACUGAGAUACGGCCCAGACUCCUACGGGAGGCAGCAGUGGGGAAUAUUGCACAAUGGGCGCAAGCCUGAUGCAGCGACGCCGCGUGAGGGAUGACGGCCUUCGGGUUGUAAACCUCUUUCAAUAGGGACGGAGCGCAAGUGACGGUACCUAUAGAAGAAGCACCGGCCAACUACGUGCCAGCAGCCGCGGUAAUACGUAGGGUGCGAGCGUUGUCCGGAAUUACUGGGCGUAAAGAGCUCGUAGGUGGUUUGUCGCGUUGUUCGUGAAAACUCACAGCUUAACUGUGGGCGUGCGGGCGAUACGGGCAGACUAGAGUACUGCAGGGGAGACUGGAAUUCCUGGUGUAGCGGUGGAAUGCGCAGAUAUCAGGAGGAACACCGGUGGCGAAGGCGGGUCUCUGGGCAGUAACUGACGCUGAGGAGCGAAAGCGUGGGGAGCGAACAGGAUUAGAUACCCUGGUAGUCCAA
rnacentral:rRNA from 1 species